UUUCCUGUGGCUCGGUCAGUAGAGCUCUAUGCUAGUACCGCAAAGCUCAUGGGUUCGAACCCCAGGGAAAG